AUCAGAAAUAUACUCGUUCUGGAGAGGUUAGGAGGGUCUUGGGUGUCCCUCUUGGAAGUGCAUCAGAGGACCAUUCCUUUGGAGUUGCUUAUCCCAAGCCUCCACCUCCGGUGGCAACAGAAGAACUAAAACACUUUAAAGAAAGUGUGCAAGAUGCUUGUAAAAUGGCCAGGGAUAGAGCAAAAAUGUUGCGUGAUUCCUUGUUCAAAUUGGAUAAGUAUAGGGAAGCGUUAAGUUCAAAGAAGCGACAGGAGUGAACUUUCAUUAAAUGAGAGGUCAAAUGGAGCAAAUGCAGGAAAGAUGGGGAGUCAGAUUCAUAGAAAUACUCAUGAUAUAAUGAAUCAAAGAUUGGAGGACAGGGCCAAGGGUGUUGGGCUGAAUAAGCGUGUUCGUACCUCAGUGGCUGAUGUGCGGGCAGAUGGUAGGUCCAGCAUUGCUUCAAGGCAGCAGAUAAUCAUGGAAAAGGGUGGAGAUAUGCUCCA
rnacentral:misc_RNA from 1 species